rnacentral:rRNA from 1 species
CCUACGGGAGGCAGCAGUGGGGAAUAUUGCACAAUGGGCGAAAGCCUGAUGCAGCAACGCCGCGUGAGCGAUGAAGGCCUUCGGUAUGUAAAGCUCUAUCAGCAAGGAAGAAAAUGACGGUACUUGAGGAGGAAGCCCCGGCUAACUACGUGCCAGCAGCCGCGGUAAUACGUAGGGGGCUAACGUUAUCCGGAAUUACUGGGCGUAAAGGGUGCGUAGGCGGUUUGUUAAGUCCGAAGUGAAAGGCCGGGGCUCAACCCUUGUACGGCUUUGGAAACUGGCGACAUGGAGUGCUGGAGAGGAGAGUGGAAUUCCUAGUGUAGCGGUGAAAUGCGUAGAUAUUAGGAGGAACACCAGUGGCGAAGGCGGCUCGCUGGACUGUAACUGACGCUGAGGCACGAAAGCGUGGGGAGCAAACAGGAUUAGAUACCCGAGUAGUC